rnacentral:rRNA from 1 species
GAUGAACGCCAGCGGCAGGCCUAACACAUGCAAGUCGAGGGGUAACUAGAGUGAUAGCAAUAUUACUUUGGCUAGACCGGCGCACGGGUGCGUAACACGUAUGCAACCUACCUUAUACUGGGGAAUAACUUCGAGAAAUCGGCGCUAAUACCCCAUAACAUUGCGAAGAGGCAUCUCUUUGCAAUUAAAGCUCCGGCGGUAUAAGAUGGGCAUGCGUCCAAUUAGCUAGUUGGUGAGGUAACGGCUCACCAAGGCUACGAUUGGUAGGGGUUCUGAGAGGAUGAUCCCCCACACUGGUACUGAGACACGGACCAGACUCCUACGGGAGGCAGCAGUGAGGAAUAUUGCGCAAUGGACGAAAGUCUGACGCAGCCAUGCCGCGUGCAGAAUGACGGCCCUAUGGGUUGUAAACUGCUUUUGUACGGGAAUAAACCCUUCUACGUGUAGGAGGCUGAAGGUACCGUAAGAAUAAGCACCGGCUAACUACGUGCCAGCCGCCGCGGUAA